AUAGAAGUUCACAGGCCCUUAGUCUCCACAUACAAACAGUUUUAAACCUUGUUUCCAUAACAACCGAGCCAUUUUUCUUCACUGCCGUAGGUCAACUUUAAAGGGGCAGGACGCUGUGCAUGACACUGUUAAGGGAGCGGAGUGCUGUGGAGGUCACAGUUCAGGGGCAGGUGGGGCUUGGGUGGCCAAA